rnacentral:rRNA from 1 species
UACGUAGGGUGCAAGCGUUGUCCGGAAUUAUUGGGCGUAAAGAGCUCGUAGGCGGUCUGUCGCGUCUGCUGUGAAAACUCGGGGCUUAACCCCGGGCCUGCAGUGGGUACGGGCAGACUAGAGUGCGGUAGGGGAGACUGGAAUUCCCGGUGUAGCGGUGAAAUGCGCAGAUAUCGGGAGGAACACCGGUGGCGAAGGCGGUUCUCUGGGCCUGACCUGACGCUGAGGAGCGAAAGCGUGGGGAGCGAACAGG